GUAUGGAUGAUCAUCUCCGAGUGUCAUGCUUCCCUCAUCAAUCUUGGUGUAUGUCAUGAAUCAAGACCGGUUUGGGAUGUAGUGAUGCGAACAUGCUGAAUCUAGGGUCCAUACUAUUAGAAUUUCGUAAAGGAGCAUACAUAUGUGUUUCAAAUUUUUUUUUUUCUAAAUAAUAUAGUGGAAUAGAAGAUUAAAAUAUCUUUUAAUCUAAAUCUUGCAUGCAUAAAAUAAAAAAUAGAUGGAUCUACUUCACAUGCUGAAAUUGAACACAUACUGAAUUUUAUGCUGAAAUUAAAUAUGUGAUCGAAUCACAUAUCUAU
rnacentral:lncRNA from 1 species